GACGAACGCUGGCGGCGUGCUUAACACAUGCAAGUCGAACGGUAAGGCCCUUCGGGGUACACGAGUGGCGAACGGGUGAGUAACACGUGGGUGAUCUGCCCUGCACUUCGGGAUAAGCCUGGGAAACUGGGUCUAAUACCGGAUAGGACCACUGCCUGCAUGGGUGGGGGUGGAAAGCUUUUGCGGUGUGGGAUGGGCCCGCGGCCUAUCAGCUUGUUGGUGGGGUGAUGGCCUACCAAGGCGACGACGGGUAGCCGGCCUGAGAGGAUGACCGGCCACACUGGGACGGGGAUACGGCCCAGACUCCUACGGGAGGCGGCAGUGGGGAAUAUUGCACCAUGGGCGCAAGCCUGAUGCAGCGACGCCGCGUGAGGGAUGACGGCCUUCGGGUUGUAAACCUCUUUCAGCACCGACGAAGCGCAAGUGACGGUAGGUGCAGAAGAAGGACCGGCCAACUACGUGCCAGCCGCCGCCGUAA
rnacentral:rRNA from 1 species